rnacentral:rRNA from 1 species
AGAGUUUGAUCUUGGCUCAGGACGAACGCUGGCGGCGUGCCUAACACAUGCAAGUCAAGCGGGGAGAUCCCUUCGGGGGUCUUCUAGCGGCGGACGGGUGAGUAACGCGUGAGCAACCUUUCCUUCACAGGGGGAUAACGCAGCGAAAGCUGUGCUAAUACCGCAUGAGACCACAGGACCGCAUGGUCAAGGGGUCAAAGGAGCAAUCCAGUGAAGGGUGGGCUCGCGUCUGAUUAGCUAGUUGGCGGGGUAAAGGCCCACCAAGGCAACGAUCAGUAGCCGACCUGAGAGGGUGAUCGGCCACACUGGGACUGAGACACGGCCCAGACUCCUACGGGAGGCAGCAGUGGGGAAUAUUGGGCAAUGGGGGAAACCCUGACCCAGCAACGCCGCGUGAGGGAAGAAAGUUUUCGGAUCGUAAACCUCUGUCCUUGGUGAAGAGCAGAAGACGGUAGCCAAGGAGGAAGCCCCGGCUAACUACGUGCCAGCAGCCGCGGUAAUACGUAGGGGGCAAGCGUUGUCCGGAAUGAUUGGGCGUAAAGGGCGCGUAGGCGGCCUGUUAAGUCUGGAGUGAAAGUCCUGCUUUUAAGGUGGGAAGUGCUUUGGAAACUGGCGGGCUGGAGUGCAGGAGAGGUUAGCGGAAUUCCCGGUGUAGCGGUGAAAUGCGUAGAGAUCGGGAGGAACACCAGUGGCGAAGGCGGCUAACUGGACUGUAACUGACGCUGAGGCGCGAAAGUGUGGGGAGCAAACAGGAUUAGAUACCCUGGUAGUCCACACUGUAAACGAUGAAUGCUAGGUGUAGGGGGUAUCGACCCCUUCUGUGCCGGAGUAAACACAAUAAGCAUUCCGCCUGGGGAGUACGGCCGCAAGGUUGAACUAAAACGAAUUGACGGA